GUGGGGAAUCUUGCGCAAUGGGCGAAAGCCUGACGCAGCCAUGCCACGUGAAUGAUGAAGGUCUUAGGAUUGUAAAAUUCUUUCACCGGGGACGAUAAUGACGGUACCCGGAGAAGAAGCUCCGGCUAACUUCGUGCCAGCAGCCGCGGUAAUACGAAGGGGGCUAGCGUUGCUCGGAAUUACUGGGCGUAAAGGGCGCGUAGGCGGACAGCUUGGUCAGAGGUGAAAGCCCAGGGCUCAACCUUGGAAUUGCCUUUGAUACUGGCUGUCUUGAGUUUGGGAGAGGUGAGUGGAACUCCGAGUGUAGAGGUGAAAUUCGUAGAUAUUCGGAAGAACACCAGUGGCGAAGGCGACUCACUGGCCCAAUACUGACGCUGAGGCGCGAAAGCGUGGGGAGCAAACAGGAUUAGAUACCCCAGUAGUCC
rnacentral:rRNA from 1 species